rnacentral:rRNA from 1 species
AGGAAAAGAAAAUAACCAUGAUUCCCCUAGUAACGGCGAGUGAAGAGGGAAAAGCUCAAAGUUGGAACCUGGCUGACUUAGUUGGUCCGGAUUGUAAACUAAAGAGUAAGACUCCAGGCAAGCCGGUUUACCAAGUUCCUUGGAAUAGGACGCCACUGAGGGUGAGAGCCCCGUAAGUAAACUGAGCAUCUGUCUUUUGUGUGUCUUGCUUAAAGAGUCAGGUUGUUUGGGAAUGCAGCCUAAAGUGGGUGGUAAAUCCCACCUAAAGCUAAAUACUGGCGAGAGACCGAUAGCGAACAAGUACCGUGAGGGAAAGAUGAAAAGAACUUUGAAAAGAGAGUUAAACAGUAUGUGAAAUUGCCAAGAGGGAAGCGUUUGGAGUUAGACUGACUGGAGGUCAAUCAACUUGGUUUUCGAACUGGGUGUACUUGGCCUUUAUGUCGGCCAGCAGCAGUUUGCUUUGAUGGAAAAUACUUGGGGAAAGGUAGUCCUUCGGGAUGUUUAUAGACCCUUGGAAGAUACAUUGGAGUAGACUGAGGAACGCAGUAGAUGCUUUCAGGCUUCGUCUUGUGGCUCUUGUGUGAGGUGGACCCGUGUUUUCAGCCUAGCUGAUGCUCUGGUGCUCCAAGUUCAAGUAGUUAUUCGAACUGUAAUCUACUAUGGUUGCUGGCUUAAUGACUCUAAACGACCCG